AGUGAACGCUGGCGGUGGGCCUAAUACAUGCAAGUCGAGCGGCCGCACAGUAAGCGCUUGCUUCUACGGGUGGCGAGUGGCGGGCGGGUGAGGAAUACAUCGGCAUCUUCUUUUUCGUGGGGGAUUACGUAGGGCAACUUACGCUACUACCGCAUACGUCCUACGGGUGAAAUCAAGAGAUAUUCGCACUUUGCGCGUUUCAUUGAGAUGAAGUCGGAUUAGCUAGUUGGCGGGGUAAAGGCUCACCAAGGCGACGAUACGUAGCAGGUCUGAGAGGAUGAUCGGCCACACUGGAACUGAGACACGGUCCAGACUCCUACGGGAGGCAGCAGUGGGGAAUAUUGGACAAUGGGCGCAAGCCUGACGCAGCAAUACCGCGUGGGUGAAGAAGGCCUUCGGGUUGUAAAGCCCUUUUGUUGGGAAAGAAAAUCAGCAGGUUAAUACCCCGCUAUUCUGACGGUACCCAAAGAAUAAGCACCGGCUAACUUCGUG
rnacentral:rRNA from 1 species